AAUCAACGCUGGCGGCGUGCCUCAGACAUGCAAGUCGAACGCGAAAUUUCCCUUCGGGGAGAAAGUAGAGUGGCGCACGGGUGAGUAACACGUAGGUAAUUUGCCUUUGGGUGGGGAAUAACUCAGGGAAACUUGAGCUAAUACCGCAUAAUGCAGCGGCUCGACAUCGAGACAGUUGUUAAAGCGGGGGAGUUGGAGCAAUCCGACCUCGCGCCUAAAGAGAAGCCUGCGGCAGAUUAGCUAGUUGGUAAGGUAAUGGCUUACCAAGGCGACGAUCUGUAACCGGCCUGAGAGGGCGGUCGGUCACACUGACACUGACAUACGGGUCAGACUCCUACGGGAGGCAGCAGUCGGGAAGUUUU
rnacentral:rRNA from 1 species